CAGUCGCCGCGGUAAUACGUAGGGUGCAAGCGUUAUCCGGAAUUAUUGGGCGUAAAGAGCUCGUAGGCGGUUUGUCGCGUCUGCUGUGAAAACUGGAGGCUCAACCUCCAGCCUGCAGUGGGUACGGGCAGACUAGAGUGCGGUAGGGGAGAUUGGAAUUCCUGGUGUAGCGGUGGAAUGCGCAGAUAUCAGGAGGAACACCGAUGGCGAAGGCAGAUCUCUGGGCCGUAACUGACGCUGAGGAGCGAAAGCGUGGGGAGCGAACAGGAUUAGAUACCCCCGUAGUCCCUGUCUCUUAUAC
rnacentral:rRNA from 1 species